rnacentral:rRNA from 2 species
CAACUUUCAGCAACGGAUCUCUUGGCUCUCGCAUCGAUGAAGAACGCAGCGAAUUGCGAUAAGUAAUGUGAAUUGCAGAAUUCAGUGAAUCAUCGAAUCUUUGAACGCACCUUGCGCUCUUUGGUAUUCCGAAGAGCAUGCCUGUUUGAGUGUCAUUA